AGUGGCGGACGGGUGAGUAAUGUCUGGGAAACUGCCUGAUGGAGGGGGAUAACUACUGGAAACGGUAGCUAAUACCGCAUAACGUCGCAAGACCAAAGAGGGGGACCUUCGGGCCUCUUGCCAUCGGAUGUGCCCAGAUGGGAUUAGCUAGUAGGUGGGGUAAAGGCUCACCUAGGCGACGAUCCCUAGCUGGUCUGAGAGGAUGACCAGCCACACUGGAACUGAGACACGGUCCAGACUCCUACGGGAGGCAGCAGUGGGGAAUAUUGCACAAUGGGCGCAAGCCUGAUGCAGCCAUGCCGCGUGUAUGAAGAAGGCCUUCGGGUUGUAAAGUACUUUCAGCGGGGAGGAAGGGAGUAAAGUUAAUACCUUUGCUCAUUGACGUUACCCGCAGAAGAAGCACCGGCUAACUCCGUGCCAGCAGCCGCGGUAAUACGGAGGGUGCAAGCGUUAAUCGGAAUUACUGGGCGUAAAGCGCACGCAGGCGGUUUGUUAAGUCAGAUGUGAAAUCCCCGGGCUCAACCUGGGAACUGCAUCUGAUACUGGCAAGCUUGAGUCUCGUAGAGGGGGGUAGAAUUCCAGGUGUAGCGGUGAAAUGCGUAGAGAUCUGGAGGAAUACCGGUGGCGAAGGCGGCCCCCUGGACGAAGACUGACGCUCAGGUGCGAAAGCGUGGGGAGCAAACAGG
rnacentral:rRNA from 1 species